UACAGAGGGGGCAAGCGUUAUUCGGAAUUAUUGGGCGUAAAGAGCUCGUAGGCGGUUCGGUAAGUCGGGUGUGAAAACUUUGGGCUCAACCCAAAGCCUGCACUCGAUACUGCUGUGACUUGAGUCCGGUAGGGGAGUGGGGGAAUUCCUGGUGUAGCGGUGGAAUGCGCAGAUAUCAGGAAGAACACCCGUGGCGAAGGCGGUUCUCUGGGACGGUACUGACGCUGGAGACGCGAAAGCGUGGGGAGCGAACAGG
rnacentral:rRNA from 1 species